rnacentral:rRNA from 1 species
GAUGAACGCUGGCGGCGUGCCUAAUACAUGCAAGUCGAGCGAACGGACGAGAAGCUUGCUUCUCUGAUGUUAGCGGCGGACGGGAGAGUAACACGUGGAUAACCUACCUAUAAGACUGGGAUAACUUCGGGAAACCGGAUCUAAUACCGGAUGAUAUUUUGAACCGCAUGGUUCAAAAGUGAAAGACGGUCUUGCUGUAACUUAUAGAUGGAUCCGCGCUGCAUUAGCUAGUUGGUAAGGUAACGGCUUACCAAGGCAAGGAUGCAUAGCCGACCGGACAGGGUGAUCGGCCACACUGGAACUGAGACACGGUCCAUGCUCCUACGGGAGGCAGCAGUAGGGAAUCUUCCGCAAUGGUCGAAAGCCUGACGGAGCGACGCCGCGUGAGUGAUGAAGGUCUUCGGAUCGUAAAACUCUGUUAUUAGGGAAGAACAUAUGUGUAAGUAACUGUGCACAUCUUGACGGUACCUAAUCAGAAAGCCACGGCUAACUACGUG